GGGACGAGCUUGGCGCUGGUGGGACCAGUGCAGGAGAUUUCAAUGGAGAUGGAGUAACUGAUGUGAUUGUCGCCGCUCCAUUAUCAGACCCAAACAACCGCGACCAAGCUGGU
rnacentral:ribozyme from 1 species